AGUGAACGCUGGCGGCAGGCCUAACACAUGCAAGUCGAGCGGCAGCGCGGGGGCAACCCUGGCGGCGAGCGGCGGACGGGUGAGGAAUUCGUCGGAAUCUGCCUUUUUUUGGGGGAUAACGUAGGGAAACUUACGCUAAUACCGCAUCCGUCCUACGGGAGAAAGUGGGGGACCGCAAGGCCUCACGCAGAAAGAUGAGCCGACGACCGAUUAGCUAGUUGGUGGGGUAAAGGCCCACCAAGGCGACGAUCGGUAGCUGGUCUGAGAGGAUGAUCAGCCACACUGGGACUGAGACACGGCCCAGACUCCUACGGGAGGCAGCAGUGGGGAAUAUUGGACAAUGGACGCAAGCCUGAUCCAGCCAUGCCGCGUGUGUGAAGAAGGCCUUCGGGUUGUAAAGCACUUUUGUCCGGAAAGAAAUCCCUGGAGCUAAUACCUUCGGGGGAUGACGGUACCGGAAGAAUAAGCACCGGCUAACUUCGU
rnacentral:rRNA from 1 species